rnacentral:rRNA from 1 species
AUUGAACGCUGGCGGCAGGCCUAACACAUGCAAGUCGAACGGUAACAGGAAGACGCUUGCUUCCUUGCUGGCGAGUGGCGGACGGGUGAGUAAUGUAUGGGAAACUGCCUGGUGGAGGGGGAUAACUACGGGAAACGGACGCUAAUACCGCAUACCGCCGCCGGACCAAAGAGGGGGACCGUAGGGCCUCUCGCGAUUGGAUGUGCCGAGGUGGGAUUAGCUAGUCGGUGGGGUAACGGCUCACCUAGGCGACGAUCCGUAGCUGGUCUGAGAGGAUGACCAGCCACACUGGAACUGAGACACGGUCCAGACUCCUACGGGAGGCAGCAGUGGGGAAUAUUGCACAAUGGGCGCAAGCCUGAUGCAGCCAUACCGCGUGUGUGAAGAAGGUCUUCGGGUUGUAAAGUACUUUUGGUGGGGAGGAAGGGAUUAAGGCUAAUACCCUGGCACAUUGACGGUACCCAAAGAAGAAGCACCGGCUAACUUCGUG